UCAAACUUGGUCAUUUAGAGGAAGUAAAAGUCGUAACAAGGUUUCCGUAGGUGAACCUGCGGAAGGAUCAUUAACGUAUCUCUGACGGCGAGGGUGUGCGCCCCGCUCCGGGUUCCUAAUGGGCCUGUGCCAGCGGGUGACCCCGAGCCGCUCAAACCCUUUUACAAACCCACCGUGCACAUUUGUCGGCAGAGGGCCCCGAGUGGGCCUGAGCCGUACUCCCACAAACACCAAGUUUGAAAAGAAUGCCUAGUGGACAUUGUGCCGCCUAAACUUUAACAACUUUCAACAACGGAUCUCUUGGCUCUCGCAUCGAUGAAGAACGCAGC
rnacentral:misc_RNA from 1 species